rnacentral:SRP_RNA from 2 species
UCGCCACUACAAUAGCAGGCUUCGAACCAUGUCAGGACCGGAAGGUAGCAGCAUUAAGAAUCCCCUGUUAUGUGUAGUGGUAUUUU